AGCAUAAGAAGAAAGCUGUGCUCUCUUGAUUGUGGCGGAUCGUGGCGACACGGGUGAGUAAAUAUAUCGGAACGUGCCCAGUAAUGGGGAAUAACUAACUGAAAGGUUAGCUAAUACGCAUACGACCUACGGGUGAAAGCAGGGGAUCUUAGGACCUUGCGUUAUUGGAGCGGCCGAUAUCUGAUUAGCUUGUUGGUGGGGUAAAAGCCUACCAAGGCAACGAUCAGUAGCUGGUCUGAGAGGACGAUCAGCCACACUGGAACUGAGACACGGUCCAGACUCCUACGGGAGGCAGCAGUGGGGAAUUUUGGACAAUGGGCGCAAGCCUGAUCCAGCCAUACCGCGUGUGUGAAGAAGGCCUUCGGGUUGUAAAGCACUUUAAGCAGGGAAGAAGCGAAAGUGACGGUAACUGCAGAAG
rnacentral:rRNA from 1 species